GAUGAAGAACGCAGCGAAAUGCGAUACUUGGUGUGAAUUGCAGAAUCCCGUGAACCAUCGAGUCUUUGAACGCAAGUUGCGCCCGAAGCCAUUAGGCCGAGGGCACGCCUGCCUGGGCGUCACACGUCGUUGCCCCCCCAUCUACUCCUUCGGGAUUGCGGGGGGCGGAUGAUGGCCUCUCGUGCGCCUCGUCGCGCGGUUGGCCUAAAUGCCAAGUCCUCGGCGACGCACGCCACGACAAUCGGUGGUUGCGAAACCUCGGUUGCCUGUCGUGUGCGGUCGUCGCGCAUCGAGGGCUCGAAAAAAUUGCCGGGCUUCGGCUCGACUUUCAACGCAACCCCAGGUCAGGCGGGGUUACCCGCUGAAUUUAAGCAUAUCAAUAAGCGGAGGA
rnacentral:misc_RNA from 1 species